CUGGUAUUUUGGAACCUCUACGACGACGUUGUGAACGGGAUUCUGUUCUUGGUGCCGCUAGUUUCGAGGAGUUGAGCCCAAGGGGAUUCUUGUCACACUCGGUAUCAUUCAGUUUCCUUAGUAUCUCAGGAUGGAGGAUGUUCGAAAUUCUUCAAUCCUUGUAGUGGUGAGAGGAGUCUCGCAUCCACAGUACUGGUGGAGAGCGUUUGGAUGUACUGCCAUACUUGGUAUCAUUGUGAUUACGAGGGUCUAAGGUAUAUGAGUUUCCGAGAGCUCUGGUUAUGUGUUGACGAAUGUGAUACAAUGGACGGGUAGUGUUAUUGCUAGGAGUUGAGUGGUCAACUUUACUCCUUCUAUCUGUGGACUCGAUUAAAUAACUGGAAAAUCUCGGGAGUUCUUACUUGCGAAUUCGAGUAGUUACCUAGAAUUAUCUUCCAGCAGAUGCAUGAUGUGAGGAUGGGGUUCGACAUCUAGUGGACUCGUUUGUUCACGGUCUUUCUUAUAGAGGGUAGUCAAAAUAUAUGUCAUCACAUAUGCUCCGUCAAGCCAUGUAGAUCGCUGCGCCUAGGGAGCAUAUUCGAACAUCAUUUGAAUAUGACAAUCCAAUGUAUGAUCGAU
rnacentral:lncRNA from 1 species